CUUUUAUAAUAAAUAAAUAAACUGUACAUAUAUAGCAGCCACCUACUCCACCGCUACCAUCAAUUGUGCCGCUUGCACCACCACUAACCUACAGCCACCACCAAUCCACUGUUACAUAGCCACCUUCAAUAACACCAGCGAUAAAUUCACACAACUACUAUCAAUAAAACCCAUCAAUUCUGCUCUUUAUCAACACCACCGUUUUAAAUCAACACCCCCCAUACACCACCAGUAUCGAAUUUGCGAUAAUCAUCAAUCCAAAUCAAUUAAGAAAAAGAAAGAAAAGAGAAGGAAGAACAACAUUUCUUGAUUCACCAUUGCAGCUCCAUUAUCUUCAUUGCCUCUGUCUCCAUUAACCACCAUUUGUUUCUUGAUUUCAGCUUAUUGCUUGAUUUUAAUUUCAAAGAAAAAAAAAGAAGAAAGAGAGCAAAAGUAAAAUGGAGGAAAAAGUUGGUUUAAGGCUGCAAGAUUCACCGGUGAAUGAGAUGUGUUAGUGGAUUUGGUGUUGUUCUCUUCUAUUCUGAUUGAAAUUUCUCUCUUCUCGGUUCAAUUUAGUAGAGAAGAGAGAGAGAGGGGGAAAAAGAGAUAAAGGAGAGUAAUUAAAAUAAUUAUGGAACUUUUUUUUUAUCAAUUAAUAGAGCAAUUGUAAGUCACCCGCUGCAUUUAUCAAAAAAAGGGUCUAAGUGAACCAAAAAUGCUAAAUUUUUGGACUUAAAUGGCCAUAAAAGGGUAAAAUGGCUUAUUUGUCUCCACUCAGAAAGUUCAGUGGCCCAAUUGAACCUUACUCCUUUUU
rnacentral:lncRNA from 1 species